CAGGCCCUAUCUGCAAAAGAUGGUAGAGAAGCACGUCAUGGCUGGAGCAAACCCUGGAGUGUGCAGCUGCUACCAGGCAGAGCCAGGUAAUUGUUAUUACUGCCAUGCAGCGUUGGGAAAUUGAAAUACUGUACUAUUUGCGCUGUGUAACUUGGAUCUAGUUUGCUUACUGAAAGAUGUUGCAGUGUGCCAGCACCCUCUUGUGGGCUGUGGAAUAGUGUGGAAUUUUGACUUGCAAGAUGGAAAUGGCAAAAUCUCUUACAGCAGUGGCUGUAUAUUGUCCCAGGUUGCAGACUCAGCAUGUGUCCCUAAUAAUUAAAAAGACAGCAGCAGUCUCUGCCAGCCAAAAAAACCAUCAGAAGUAUUUCACAAUGGAUGUAGAUGAUGAAGAAAACAUGAGUUCAAGCAGCACUGAUGUUAAAGAAAACCGCAACAUGGACAACGUUCCCCCCAAGGAUGGCAGUGCACAAGGCACCGGGGAGGGGGCUCAGCUCUCCAAUGGUGGCAGCAGCAGCAGCAGCAGCAGCAGAAAGCGGCCUUUGGAGGAAGGCAACAAUGGCCACUCCAAAUUUCGCCCUAAGAAGAGGAAGAAAACACCAGGUCCUGUCUUGCCAAAGAAUGCCCUGAUGCAACUUAAUGAGAUCAAACCUGGUUUACAGUAUAAGCUGCUGUCCCAGACGGGGCCAGUUCAUGCCCCAAUGUUUGUGAUGGCUGUUGAGGUUAACGGACAGGUGUUUGAGGGCUCUGGCCCCACAAAGAAGAAAGCCAAGCUCCACGCUGCUGAGAAAGCUCUGCGGUCAUUUGUCCAGUUCCCAAAUGCAUCAGAAGCACACCUGGCCAUGGGGAGGACUCUCUCUGUCAACACGGACUUCACCUCUGACCAGGCAGACUUUCCUGACACACUUUUCAAUGGAUUUGAAACUCCAGUUCCUUCUGAUGCUUCCUUUUACCUAGGGUCCAAUGGGGAUGGCUCCUUUGGCGCCAGCAGGGAGUAUGGUCUGCCAUCAGCUGCUGUGGCAAGUAGCCUUACUCAGUUGCCUCUGCCUGCAUCAUUGCCAUACCCGACCGCGAGUGGGAAGAAUCCUGUAAUGAUCCUGAAUGAGCUCCGGCCAGGCCUGAAGUAUGAGUUUCUCUCAGAGAGCGGGGAGAGCCAUGCCAAAAACUUUGUCAUGGCUGUCGCUGUGGAUGGGCAAACAUUUGAAGGAUCGGGAAGGAAUAAAAAGCUUGCGAAAGCUCGGGCUGCUCAGUCAGCCCUGGCAUCCUUGUUUAACAUGCAGCUGGACCAGACUCCAUCUCGACAGCCCAUUCCUAGUGAGGGGCUCCAGUUACAUUUGCCACAGGUUUUAGCUGAUGCUGUUGCACGCUUGGUUGUAGAUAAAUUCUGUGAUUUGACAGAAAAUUUCACUUCUCCACAUGCACGUAGAAAAGUCCUUGCUGGAAUUGUCAUGACAACAGGUACGGAUGUGAAAGAUGCUCUGGUAAUAAGUGUUUCUACGGGAACAAAAUGCAUUAAUGGUGAAUAUAUGAGUGACCGUGGUCUUGCAUUAAAUGAUUGCCAUGCAGAAAUUAUAUCCCGCCGGUGCCUGCUUAAAUUUCUGUAUACACAACUCGAGCUUUAUCUAAGCAAUAAAGAUGAUCAGGAAAAAUCCAUUUUUAUCAAAUCAGAGCGAGGCGGUUUUAAACUGAAGGAGAAUGUACAGUUCCAUCUCUAUAUCAGCACGUCUCCUUGUGGAGAUGCUAGAAUUUUCUCACCACAUGAAGCAGCACAAGAGGAUCAAGGGGACAGACAUCCAAACCGCAAAGCAAGAGGACAGCUACGAACAAAAAUAGAAUCUGGGGAAGGGACGAUCCCUGUGCGCUCUACUACCACCAUCCAGACAUGGGAUGGAGUGUUGCAAGGAGAAAGGCUACUUACUAUGUCAUGCAGUGACAAGAUAGCAAGGUGGAACGUAUUGGGUAUUCAAGGAGCCUUACUUAGCCUCUUUGUGGAGCCAAUUUACUUCUCUAGCAUCAUCUUGGGGAGUUUAUAUCAUGGGGAUCAUCUAUCCAGAGCCGUAUACCAGAGGAUAGCAGAGAUAGAAGAUCUACCACCUCUUUAUACACUCAACAGACCUUUACUUAGUGGUAUUAGCAAUGCAGAAGCACGCCAACCAGGGAAAGCACCAAAUUUCAGUGUAAAUUGGACAGUGGGAGACAGUAGUCUUGAAGUUAUUAAUGCUACAACUGGCAAAGAUGAAAUGGGGCGUGCAUCUCGCCUCUGUAAGCAUGCUUUGUACAGCCGCUGGAUGCGUGUUCAUGCAAAGCUUUCGUCCAGCUUGCGCUUGAAGAUCUUCAAGCCUAACAUGUACCAUGAAACCAAGCAAGGAGCCACUGAGUAUCAAACUGCCAAAGAGUGUUUAUUUAAAGCAUUCCUGAAGGCAGGACUUGGAGCAUGGGUGGAGAAACCCAUAGAACAGGAUCAGUUUUCACUCACAGUCUAAUUCACAGUCUGCACGUCAGUUUGGAAGGGGAGUCGCUUUGGAAAUCCUGGUGUCCAGCAUUGCUUUCUGGCAUCUCCAUACCUGUUAAAACAUCUUUUUACUGUUUUUUCUUUUUCAAAGCUUGGUAGUAACUGUUUUGGUUUUGCCUAAGUAUUGAAACUCAAUGAUAAUCUGACACAUAAUUGUGUAUUUUGUUAUGAGAAAGUAAUUUCUGGUGUAUUUCUAGAAAUACUUUUACUGUAGAAAAUCUGCAGUAAGGUUGUCUGUCCUUACAGUAUACCAUGACUCAUUUUUUCUGGGUUAAAAUAAUUGCUUUUUUAAUUUGAUGUCAUCAAGUGCAUGAAGAAAUAAAUAUUUAUUUAGAUUUUACACCACACUUGUAAGAAGUAGCUUAAUUUUAUAAGAGGAAAAUAGGGAACGAAGAUGAUUCUUCUCUUUUAAGUUGUUUUUGAAUUGCAGAUGUUGCUAGCAUCAUCUACAUCAUCAUACAUGCUAGAUGUUGCUAGCAUGUAGCUAGACCACUGGGCCAGAAUGAAGUCUGGACAAGUAGUUUUCCCCACUUCCUUGCUCUUUAAAACCAGCUGCUGAGAAAUUCAUGUCUUUGAUGUAUGUAUUUAUUAGUCUAUGAUCCCAUUUUUAACAUGCAGCUUUCUAUUCUGGUUUUAAAAAUACAUUUACCUCCCAUUUACACACAUUGUGAAGUCUUUUUUUUUUUUAAACCAUUGUAAACUGGAAACAACAAAAUGAUUAUUUGUAAGUUAUGCAGUUUAGUCUAUAAUGUGCAGAACUCUGUUUAGAUGUAGGUGAUUUGUAUAUCCUUUGAACUCAUUAGAGUUACAAUAAUAAUUACAACAUGACAAUUUAGGAAAAUUUGCUCAUUUUGAGGUCACUAAGCUUGAAUGGCCAAAAAAAAGUCACUCAGUGAACAUUAAUUGUUCUCUUCUAAAAGAAAUGAAAAGCUCUUGUAUGGACAAAAAGGUUGUUAAAACUUCUCUUCUGCUUUCAUUCAAGUUGUUGUGUCCUUUUCAAGAUUUCAUUACCUUUUGGCUUUACAUGUGUGAUGGUCUUCAUGAAACUAAUUGGUUAACUUGUGGAAAAUUGUGAGGGAAGUCCUCAGUCCCCUCAAGGAUGAGCUGUCACGCUGCCCCAGCCUCUGCUUUGCCCAUGGCUGUUCCACUCAACACCAUGGGCUGGGUGUGAUUGCUGAUGCUCCUGUAUUCCUCGUAAGUCACCAUCACUGGACAUGUGUGAAGAGCAAUGUAUGUCAUUUCAAGCAAUUGUGAAAGAUAAGACAACUCUGCUUCCAGCAACUGCUGAAUUUUGUGGCUGACCUUUCUGUUCUGUUGAUUUCCAGUGCAUUUUGGAAGGCUGAUCUCCUUGUGAGAAGCCUCACUGCGCUGCAUGGGAAGGGUGUACGGGAGCUGGCCUGAGCAGCAGUCUGCAGUGCCACUCCAUGAGCUGCUUUGGUUCUCUUAUUUAUAUGUUUUUGCUCCUGUGUUUGCCUCAGGACCUUCAAAGGAUUUACAUAAAGAGGAACAACUUUGAUGCCAGUGAGUACUUGAAAGCUAAUCUAAGGUGUUUUUCUUCACAUGACAGCCUAGUGAUAAUAAAGUUUGUCAGUAAAACAAGAUUUAGAAGUUUGAUACGUAUUUAUUCUAUGGUAUCAUUUCAAGAAAUUUGACCAACUCAACUUCCUUUCUACUCCCUGCUGCUCUGUGCUGGAGAGCCCUCUGGGCAAGAUGCAGGGAGCAUGGGCCAAAUGAAAUAGCUGCUAAGAUGCUGGUGUUUCCUGGCCACCACCUUUCCUGGAGAAGUCCCAGCUCAGCUGGUUCCCAAUAGAUCUGAUGGUUUCAGGAUGCACUGGUUUUGUUGCAGUUUCUUUACAGCAACAAACAGUCCAGAGCAUUUGCAAAUUGACCACCAGGGAAGAAGGUUGCAAGAGUCUCUGUGGCAGACAGGCUGGGCAUUAUCGCUGCAUAUUGUGUGGUAUUUUACCUUAGGCAGGUGUUCUGAUCCCCCUGACAAGCAACUGGAUAAUAAUAAAGGCCUGGUUUUCCUUAGAAUAUCCAUUAGAUGAAAUGAGGCUGUAGAUCAAUCUGUGCAUGUAUUUUUGCAGGAUCGAGGGAAAGCUGGUUGGUUAGAUUUUAAGAAACGUACGAGCAUUGUACUGUCAACAAGAAAUGAGCCCAUGAAAUCUUGAUGUUUGAAGAUAAUCUGCACCCUGGUGUUACUGUGUUGCUACAGUUUGCAUUGCUUUUCUCAUCUCAUUGGGUUUUAAAGCUUUUAUUAAACUUAAAAAGAUGAGAGUGUU